AUGAAUAAGCCUCGUCUGAGUUAUUGUGGCGUUGAUGAACUAGCGUUUGUGGUCAAUAAUCUUGAUUUAAGGAAGCAUAGGCCUCUAAGCAUGGAUUUUGACUGGUAUAACGAUCCUCUUAGCCCAGAACUUGUUAAACUUGCAGCUGUUAAUGUUUACUCUUACCACAAGAUUGGGAGCACAUUGCUUGGAUGGGAUGCAUCAUUCCCAUCUGAGCCAAGGUUUGAUGAAUAA